rnacentral:rRNA from 1 species
GUGAACGCUGGCGGUAGGCCUAACACAUGCAAGUCGAACGGCAGCACGGUAAGAGCUUGCUCUUACGGGUGGCGAGUGGCGGACGGGUGAGGAAUACAUCGGAAUCUACUUUUUCGUGGGGGAUAACGUAGGGAAACUUACGCUAAUACCGCAUACGACCUACGGGUGAAGGCAGGGGAUCUUCGGACCUUGCGCGAUUGAAUGAGCCGAUGUCGGAUUAGCUAGUUGGCGGGGUAAAGGCCCACCAAGGCGACGAUCCGUAGCUGGUCUGAGAGGAUGAUCAGCCACACUGGAACUGAGACACGGUCCAGACUCCUACGGGAGGCAGCAGUGGGGAAUAUUGGACAAUAGGCGCAAGCCUGAUCCAGCCAUACCGCGUGGGUGAAGAAGGCCUUCGGGUUGUAAAGCCCUUUUGUUGGGAAAGAAAAGCAGCAGGUUAAUACCCCGCUGUUCUGACGGUACCCAAAGAAUAAGCACCGGCUAACUUCGUG